CAGUAACGGCGAGUGAACAGGGAAAAGCUCAAAGUUGGAACCUCCUGGCUUAGGUCUGGCGGAUUGUAAACUAAAGCUCUAGAGUAGUUUGGCUGGCCCGGUAAAAAAGUUCUCUGGAAAGGGACGACAAAGAGGGUGAAAUCCCCGUUUUUGGCCGGAGCAUAGUCUCACGUUUGCUCUUUAGCGAAGAGUCAGGUUGUUUGGUAUUGCAGCCUAAAGUUGGAGGUAAAUCUCUCCUAAAGCUAAAUAUUGACGAAAGACCGAUAGCGAACAAGUACCGUGAGGGAAAGAUGAAAAGCACCUUGAAAAGGGGGUCAAAAAGUACGUGAAAUUGCUGAAAGGGAACGGUAUGAAAUCAGACUGUCUUUUUGGUAAUCAGCCUGGGCUUUGGCCUGGGUGCACUUGCCAGUAAGUACAGCCUACGACAAUUUGAAGCGUGGGAAAAAAUCAGGGGGAAUGUGGCCUCGGCUUCGGCGGAGGUGUUAUAGCCCUUUGAAAAAUACCAUGCUUUGGAUUGAGGACUGCAGUGAGCCAUUAGGGAUGAACUGUAGGCGCUUAGUUUCGGUAAGGAAGGAAUCUCUGCUUCGGGUGGUGCCUUUUUUACCGAGAUUAACCCGUUUACUUUUUCUUUUUCUCGCUUAGGUCGUAGGCAUAAUGAUUUUAUAUCACCCGUCUUGAAACACGGACCAAGGAGUCCACCAUGAUUGCGAGUCUUUGGGUGUAGAAACCCAUGGGCGGAAGGAAACUGACCAAGAUAUGAAGGCGCAAGCUGGCAAUAUCCUCCAGCGAGGACGUUUUAUACUGAAUUGACUGAGAGAAAGCAAUUAUGAUGGGACCCGAAAGAUGGUGAACUAUACUUGAAUAGGGUGAAGCCAGAGGAAACUCUGGUGGAAGCUCGUAGCGAUUCUGACGUGCAAAUCGAUCGUCAAAUUUGAGUAUAGGGGCGAAAGACUAAUCGAACCAU
rnacentral:rRNA from 1 species